GAACCAGCUGAACAGCACAGGACCACACACAGUCUCACUGAGGUGGUUGGCUGGAGGCUAACAGAUGAGGGGACGUCGUCACUGAGCAGGCCAGCACCAGAAACAGACAGUGGAACACAAAACAACAUCCGAACUUAGUCUCCAUGACAACAGACUGGCUGAGACCAGGGUCUGCAGUCAAUGAAGACCUGCUGGUGGGAGAGACUGGACCUCAGAAGCAGCUAGUCGCAAACCCUGGCCCUGGAUCAGAACUGUGGAUCAUGAGCCAUCGCUCUUCCUUCCCGAGUCGGAACCAGGACCCAACCGCGAGGGACAACGACUUCACCACAACCACUACAUAGAACACAACCAGCGGACAGAACAACCUCAGUCCUGGUGGUCAUCAGAGAGACAGAGGCUCCAGUCAGGGAUCCAGUCUGCAGCCCAGACCCUUCUCUUCACAGUCUCAGUGCAGG